UUGUGAUUCUCUUCAAGAAAAGGUGAAAAGGUUGCACAAAAGUUUUCCAUGUCAGAACCAAUAUCACCUGAGCCAGCUAUCACUUCCAUGAACUUCUUCCUAUCUGGAGCAAGCUUCAUAGCAACAGUGAAACUUGAACUAGCAAGCCAGCCGUGAAAUUUUUUCAGCGUCUUGCCAUAGGAAUCUGUACAGGCUUGUGACAUUGUCCAGUCUGCAUAAGCAAGUAAAUUGCGGAACAGUUCCACUAGGAAAUCCAUUGCUCUGAGGAAUCAUAAAAAGACGAUAAAAUUAUGAGAAAUUGUGAAUAUGUAGUGAGGUCUGCUUAAUCAUAGAAGCAC
rnacentral:misc_RNA from 1 species